rnacentral:lncRNA from 1 species
AAUGCCCCAACCUUAAAUAUUACAUUGCCCUCAAUGUAGUACUUAUAUAUUUCCCUUGAAAAAAUCAAUCCUCCUCAUCUGCGAGGUUGUCGCUAUUCGUCUCCUCCUUUAUCUCGAAAGCCAUAUCGGGGAACACUGGUGGUGGCGAGAAAUGAAUAGGAUUCGAACCGGUAACGUUAAAGCGAUUAAAAAAACUAGUGAUGACCUUGUUCCUGUAAUCCACAAUUAUCUCGACUCAUCCCGCUAUCCAUUCCAUUCCUUAAAUCAGUCGAUGGUGUUGCUGUCUACAACUGACUUUGGCUGCUCAAAAAUCUCAUAUGGUCCCUAUACCACUCAAGCGUUCUUACACAACCCACAAAUAAAUGAGGGGUGUGGUAGUCCUCCGGUGGAACUGCCUCUCAGUGCUGUGAUUAUUGAUCUGUAGACGACUCUUCCCACAUCUAUGCUCUUUCCAGUAAAAAUAGCAAACAAACGAAUUGCCCCGGACUUAAUAACAUCUGGAACAUGAGAAAAAGGCAUCAACUUUUCACAAAAAAUAGAACCAAGCCUAACUAUGUUGGCUUAGUUCUCCUUUAGGAAAAGAAACUGCUUCGUUGCCUCUUAUGCUCCAUUGUGCCCCAGGCUUACAUAGACGUUGAAUCACCUCGUCCCAAUUAAGUUCUUUUUGUGUGUAGCGUGUGAAUUCAUCCUCUUUAAUUGGUGUCAGGUUGUAAUAAACAUUGAUUGAUACGCUAUUGAAAGGUACAUACUUUCCUUGAACAAUAACAACUUUAUCAUUUGCUUCUACAACAUUAGCAUAAAAUUCUUUCACAAUUAACACCACAGCAACCUCAGGUUGAGAGGUCAGGACCCCCUAACCACACUCAUUGAUGAUAGCACGUAUACCUAGCCUAUUAGCCUCUUCUAGCACCAAGCCACGCUCUUGAAUUAAAUUUCUAUUAACUAGAUUUGCAUGGAAUCGCUCGGACGUAGCUUCACUAAAAAAUUUUGUGUGGUCAUAUGUUCUUGAAGUCCUUGAGCCAAUUAGUUGGGACAAACUAUCGAACACCUUGUGUGUGCCUUAAAUUUUGACGAAAUUCAAAACCUUUGAAUGCUUAGAUUCCUCCCAAUGGAUGUAACCUAACACAAUGUGAUUGUAUCUCUCAACCAACUCACAAUGAUGAAUUAGAAGGCUUAUAUGUAAGGAUUACCUAUUUGAUAUUGAAGAAGAUGAAAAGUUGUGAAUUUGAUUUUAAUCCUUUCUCCAAUUAUAUAGGCCUGAUGUGUCUUUGCAAUCCACCAUUAUAUUAUUGUGUCGGUUUAUAAUGCUGAGAUUGAGAGAAAUUUGGAGUAUUGGUAGUUAUUGUUGGAAAUGGUUAGGAGUUUGGGUGCGUGGGGGCAGUUUUUGGGAUAGUUGUGAAGGAAUAUAAGUAUUUUGGAUGAGUGGG